GAAUUCAACUCCUACGGGAGGCAGCAGUGGGGAAUCUUGCACAAUGGGCGAAAGCCUGAUGCAGCAACGCCGCGUGCGGGAAGAAGGCCUUAGGGUUGUAAACCGCUUUCAGCAGGGAAGAAACUGACGGUACCUGCAGAAGAAGGUGCGGCCAACUACGUGCCAGCAGCCGCGGUGACACGUAGGCACCAAGCGUUGUCCGGAUUUAUUGGGCGUAAAGAGCUCGUAGGCGGUUCGGUAAGUCGGGUGUGAAAACUCUGGGCUCAACCCAGAGAUGCCACUCGAUACUGCCGUGACUCGAGUGCGGUAGGGGAGCGGGGAAUUCCUGGUGUAGCGGUGAAAUGCGCAGAUAUCAGGAGGAACACCAGUGGCGAAGGCGCCGCUCUGGGCCGUAACUGACGCUGAGGAGCGAAAGCGUGGGUAGCAAACAGGAUUAGAAACCCUAGUAGUCCAGGCGUU
rnacentral:rRNA from 1 species